CGCAUCCCUGGAAGCCUCAGGCAAGGCCCCACCUCAGCUCUGCCUGUGGGAGACAUCCGAGCGGGGUUUUUAAUAGACCCGGAGCUGGCAUUCUUACUCAUUUGCAGGUCCAAAUGAAAUACCAUCUAUCUUUAGGUCCCUUGUCCUGUAUUGGACCAGCCUGCCCAGGUGGGCCUUUGACGUAGUCCUACUUCAGCUUUUUUGGGUUUUCUUUUGAGAGGGAGUCUGGCUCUGUCGCCCAGGUGGAGGUUGCAGUGAGCGGAAAUCCUGCCAGUGCACCCCAGCCGGGGCAACAGAGUGAGACUCCGUCUC
rnacentral:lncRNA from 10 species